rnacentral:rRNA from 1 species
AGGCCGACAGGCGUAGGCGAUGGAUAACAGGUUGAUAUUCCUGUACCACCUAUAAUCGUUUUAAUCGAUGGGGGGACGCAGUAGGAUAGGCGAAGCGUGCGAUUGGAUUGCACGUCUAAGCAGUAAGGCUGAGUAUUAGGCAAAUCCGGUACUCGUUAAGGCUGAGCUGUGAUGGGGAGAAGACAUUGUGUCUUCGAGUCGUUGAUUUCACACUGCCGAGAAAAGCCUCUAGAUAGAAAAUAGGUGCCCGUACCGCAAACCGACACAGGUAGUCAAGAUGAGAAUUCUAAGGUGAGCGAGCGAACUCUCGUUAAGGAACUCGGCAAAAUGACCCCGUAACUUCGGGAGAAGGGGUGCUCUUUAGGGUUAACGCCCAGAAGAGCCGCAGUGAAUAGGCCCAAGCGACUGUUUAUCAAAAACACAGGUCUCUGCUAAACCGUAAGGUGAUGUAUAGGGGCUGACGCCUGCCCGGUGCUGGAAGGUUAAGAGGAGUGGUUAGCUUCUGCGAAGCUACGAAUCGAAGCCCCAGUAAACGGCGGCCGUAACUAUAACGGUCCUAAGGUAGCGAAAUUCCUUGUCGGGUAAGUUCCGACCCGCACGAAAGGCGUAACGAUUUGGGCACUGUCUCAACGAGAGACUCGGUGAAAUCAUAGUACCUGUGAAGAUGCAGGUUACCCGCGACAGGACGGAAAGACCCCGUGGAGCUUUACUGUAGCCUGAUAUUGAAAUUCGGCACAGCUUGUACAGGAUAGGUAGGAGCCUUUGAAACGUGAGCGCUAGCUUACGUGGAGGCGCUGGUGGGAUACUACCCUAGCUGUGUUGGCUUUCUAACCCGCACCACUUAUCGUGGUGGGAGACAGUGUCAGGCGGGCAGUUUGACUGGGGCGGUCGCCUCCUAAAAGGUAACGGAGGCGCUCAAAGGUUCCCUCAGAAUGGUUGGAAAUCAUUCAUAGAGUGUAAAGGCAUAAGGGAGCUUGACUGCGAGACCUACAAGUCGAGCAGGGUCGAAAGACGGACUUAGUGAUCCGGUGGUUCCGCAUGGAAGGGCCAUCGCUCAACGGAUAAAAGCUACCCCGGGGAUAACAGGCUUAUCUCCCCCAAGAGUUCACAUCGACGGGGAGGUUUGGCACCUCGAUGUCGGCUCAUCGCAUCCUGGGGCUGUAGUCGGUCCCAAGGGUUGGGCUGUUCGCCCAUUAAAGCGGUACGCGAGCUGGGUUCAGAACGUCGUGAGACAGUUCGGUCCCUAUCCGUCGUGGGCGUAGGAAAUUUGAGAGGAGCUGUCCUUAGUACGAGAGGACCGGGAUGGACAUACCUCUGGUGUACCAGUUGUCGUGCCAACGGCAUAGCUGGGUAGCUAUGUGUGGACGGGAUAAGUGCUGAAAGCAUCUAAGCAUGAAGCCCCCCUCAAGAUGAGAUUUCCCAACUUCGGUUAUAAGAUCCCUCAAAGAUGAUGAGGUUAAUAGGUUCGAGGUGGAAGCAUGGUGACAUGUGGAGCUGACGAAUACUAAUCGAUCGAAGACUUAAUC